UCUCCUAUUUCCUCUCCUAAAUCUGGUGUCUUAGCUUGUACCCAACUAUUUCAGCUCUUGCCCAUUUCCCCAGAAAAAUUAAAAAAAAAACAAAAAAACACAACUCACAGUCAGUGAUUUCAGCUGUUGCCCCAUGUUUCCCCCAAAAGCUUUAUUAUUCAGCUCCUCUUCAGCUCAGGUCCAGCUCCUCUUUCUCAGCUCUUUCCCAUGAUUUCACCUUUUGCUCCCCUAUUUCCUCUCUUGAAUGCAGACUCUUAGCUCCCACCCAAGUACUUCAGCUCUUGCCCAUUUCCCCAGAAAAAUUAAAAAAAAACACAAAACAACUCUCAUCAGUGAUUUCAACUGUUGCCCCAUGUUUCCCCAAAACAGCUUUAUUAUUCAGCUCCUCUUCAGCUCAGGUCCAGCUCUUCUUCCUCAGCCUCCUCCCAGGGUGUUCAGCUUUUGCCCCAAGUUUCCCCCCAAAGGUUAAAAACUCAACUCACAGUCAGUGAUUUCAGCUGUUGCCCCAUGUUUCCCCAAAAAGCUUUAUUAUUCAGCUCCUCUUCAGCUCAGAUCCAGCCCUUUUCUUAGCUCUUUCCCAUGAUUUCACCUUUUGCUCCCCCAUUUCCUCUCUUGAAUGUGGAGUCUUAGCUUGUACCCAAGUA